AGGAACUCAACGAUUAAUUUAUUACACUUCCCUCCAGGUUUACAAUAAAUGUUACUAUGUUGAAAAAUGGGAACACGGGAAGUGUGGUUGGGAUCUAAUUCGUUCCUGACUCAUUUGUUUCUCGUUUAUUUGAUACGGAAGCAACCCUCUCCCCUUUUUUUGUAACUGUAACAGUUUACCAUUAAACGGAACCAACAUAUUAAGAUGCUGCCUUGACCCGAGUGUUUCCAAAAAUAGAAUCGUAUGUCUUGACUUAAUCGCCCAAGGCUCCGGCAUAUUGAUCUCCAAUUAUUACUUUGUAGAACAACCUACUCACUUGAAAAAGAGUGUAGAAGGCGCAUUUCCAAUCUGAAGCACCCCAAUCGGAGUUUCCAGUCUCAGUUCCAUCUCUGUGGGGAAGUGUAGAGGGAGGGCAAAUUGGGAAAGUUAUUUUCGUACGACAGAACGCUGAAGUUUUCUGCAUGUGGAGGAAACUUGCUCCCACGACUCCCCUUUAACAAUAAAUAAUUGUUUUUAUUGACAUCCCCCGGCCCUCGAUCCGCAAUGCUCCUUCCACUGGGACAACCGCUGAGACGGAAGUUUCGGGUUCCGCAGCACAAAUAGGAACAUGGAAGGGAUUCAAGAUGCUGGAAUUUCUCCGUCUUGUUACUUGCUUAUUGACCCUUAGGAAAGGUACAACGCUUCCAACGGAGAUCUCACAGAUGGUGCAAGUAACUAGCUGCAAAUAAGCGGCAAGUCCAGAAAUGGCCAGCCAAAAAGAGGCUACCAGACCUGUUAAGUGUGUCCAGCAUCGGCAGUAUUUUCCUUUUGUGUUUGCUUCUGCAGUUAGUCGCAGUCACAGAACAGAGGCUGAAGUGCUACUGGGAGUUGAGCAAAUACAACAGGGCACUUCUGCGCAAUACCGAGUUGAACAGAAGGAGGUGCUGUCUUCUGAGACGCCAAUUCGCGGUCCAGUCUGGUUGAUCCUGUUCCGUGUGUAGAGUUCGCCCACUGGCUGUUUAUCUUUGUUGCUCUUUUAAGGAAUGUACCGCGCCCAAGUUCGCUGUUGUAUUUGUCUAUAAUGUAAAAGCAACUUGUGUGUUUGGGGAUAGCCUGAGGUCCUGGAGUGACAAAAUAAAUAACUACUUCAAGAAUUUAACCUACUGCGUUGAAACAACAAUAAUUCCAUCCAGUCAUUGACUAAAUGGCUCAGUGGGUACCACGGGCAAGCUGAAAUCACCAAUGUGUUUAAGGGUUCAGUUGGCGACGUUUUCAAAUAGACUUGGCGCACACAAUUGAAACCUCAAUCGACAUUUGAAUUCUGCGAUCAUAAAUUAGAUGAAGUUAGAUUUCUCCAUUAUGCCAUGAUAUUCAGUAAACCGUGAGGGUAAAGUAGCAGACUUCAGAAGCAUAGGUUGUCGAAAUGGGCAAUUGAUAGGCUAAAUGGAUAAUUGACAGGUGAAAUUUAAUGCAGAGAAGUGUAAAGUGGUGCCUUUUAGGGAAAGAACGAAGAGAGGCAACAUAAGAUGGUACAAUUUUAAAGGAGGUGUAGAAACAGAAAGCUGGGGGUUUCAUUUUUUUGAACAUGGCAGGACAAGUUAAUACAACAGCUAACAAGGCAUAUGGGAUCCUUGCACUCUAACACUGGAGACAAUUAUUAGUGGCAGAACCACCACAGGGUAGAUGGAAAGCUUUUUAAAACUCAUUUUAUGAUCUGGGAGGGUGGUGGAAAGCAAAGUCAAUAAUAACUUUCAAAAGGGAACUGGAUCUUUACUUGGAAAAUAAAUUUUUGCAGGGCUACUGGGAAAGAGAAGGUGGGGGUUGGAACUAAUCAAUUAGUUCUUUCAAAGAGCUGGCACAAGCCUCUUUGCUGCAAGAGUUCAUGAUGGUUCAAGGGUGAUCUCACCUAGGUCUUUAAACUGAGAAAGAUGUUCAUUAGGGUAGAUACAAAGAAACUAUUUGGUGGUAACUCUAGUGUUGGAAUCCAGAAAAAGAGGCCAUUUGAGUAAAAUCAAGAAGCAAUGUUUCCCAAAAAAGGUGGUAGAAAUCUGUAACUUGCUCUCCCAAAGACUAUGGAUGCCACAUUAAUCCAAAGAUUCAAGACCAAGGGCAACAGAUCUUUGCUACAUGUGGAUAUUGAAAGAUGUGGAGCAAUGGCAGAUAAAUGGAAUGGAGGUACAAAUCUGAUUCAAUGGCAGAAAAGUCUUGAGGGGAUGAAUGAUCUGUAUCUGUUCCUAUUAUAAAAUAUACUUCCACAGAAAAACAUUUAGUACACUUUUACAAAUUAAUGGUUUAAAGAUUCAAUGCCAUUGCAAAAUUUGGGAGGGUGUGAAGAGGGGGAUAGGUACAUUGUAACUAUACAUGGUUCAACCCAAUGCAGACCAAUCACCUGAUCUAGGCCAGCUGUGACAUGCAUCACUAAAUUUAAUUAUACAUUCAUGCAUCAUUCAUUAUACAUUAAUUGCAAUGGAUCAGAAUUACCAAGGUUCUAAUUAUAGUAGUACAGGGCAGACUUCUAGGUGAAAAAGAAAUUAAAAUGAUCAAUGUAUUAAGCUGCCUCUACUACAUACUUACUAUCAAGGUGCAAGCUAAGGUUUGAAACUGACAUAUAUUCGUGAAGUUAAAAAAAGUAACUUAAAUGGCUAGAUUUCCAAUACUUUUAUCUGUAUUCAUCUACCUGCCACAAUAAGGUCAUCCAAGAUCAGGUUUAGUGUCAGGCUGCUAUUCAUCGUCCAGUACUAGGCCUGAGGACAGGCUCCAGAUCAAACUUGGCCAAAAGCAAAAAUCUUUUAAAUUAUUAAUAGAGGCUGGAACAGAAUAAAGAAUACAGGAAAGCCAAUUCUCUCCUCUCUACUCAGGAAUACAUUGGUCAAUUGCAACACCCCUACCAUCCCAGAGGAUAGCAUGGCUAAAUUAGCAAAGGCCUAGGAUGAAACCCAAGAAUCUUUCUGGUCUAUUUAGUUCAGCUAAUCACCAAAUAAAUUUAAAGAACCAUUGGAGAAAUUCCUUAAUUGGAGUUUUUGAUCACAAACAAAUUGAUCAUUAAUAUUUUACCUUUCCAUGUUACAAAUUGAUCAAAAGAGCUGGUACAAAAUCGAGACAAUUCUUUUUGGGUGCUGCACUCACUAUCAUUUGGUACAAACGAAUGCCAGGCUCUUUGCUAAACUUCAUUGCCCCUUUAAAACAGAUUUACAAUUAAAGUAAUUUUGUUACGUUUGUUUCAAUAGUGGGUGACUUGAGAAUUGGCUUGGCGGAAUUAGUGAAUUCAACCUAGGCUGGGGAUGGGAAUUGAAUUACUUUAAUUAGUAUCCAUGGUUAAUUAGGAUCAACAAAUGUUAAUUUGGCUAACCUCAGUGUCAAGCUCUGUAACUUAAAGGCAGUUUUCUAAUAAAAAACAAAAUUGCAAAA